GGAGGGGUUGGCUUGUUGGUAAAGCCAAGGCGCCUGAUAAGCGUCCGGUCGGGCAACCGAUCCAGGAGUUCGAUUCUCCUCCCCUACU
rnacentral:tRNA from 1 species